UGGUUCGACCUCUCCUGGUUCGAUCGAUCCCCACGCAAAGAAAAGUUGAGGAGAAACCCCUCGACAAGGAAAAACUGUCACGACCUCCACUUCUCCCACGACCUGCCAGUCUCAUCUCUCAUCUCCUGAUCUCUCUCCCCCGAUCCAGAAACACCCCGGCGGCCCCUGUCUCCCGGCUCCCGGGACCACCCGAGCACACUCCCUCUCCACCUUUUCUCCCUACUACCUCCACUAGCACCGCCCCCAUCCAUGAAACCGCCGUGCAUCUAUUCUGCGCAUCCAGCUACGCGCCGCCGACUAGGGAAGCCGAAAAGAGGAACUGCUGCCACCUCCGAUGGUAUCCUUCCUCGGCCAGGUAGGAACCUCCAUGUGCGGCCUGAGAUCUACAAUGAUGGGUGCAUCCGGUGCCUGGGUGUAUCAGGCGGCAGGGGGGGCGCCAUGGCGCCGAGAACUGGUCCAGCACCAUUGUCUCACAUAAGGACGGCCUGUCUCUUCCUCCUCCCCGCUCAAAUUUUUAUGGCAGCUGCCUAGGAGCUUCUUCUUCCUUUAUCUUGAUUUGUUACUCACACCCCUGGUACAAAUCUUCAGUUUUACUCCUAUAUUUCAAUCGACUGAUUUUGAUUGGUGCUAAGACGAAUUUUGUGGCCAUGUCCGAUGGAAGGCGCGAAUAUAGGCCUCCUCGGACGAUCGGGUCCGUACGUAUCUCGUCUCCAUCAGUCACAACCAUGAGUGGACGAGCUGGUGGUAGGAAGCAAUGGAGGGGGUGGGCAUGGCGGCAAGGUCAGCAGGGAGACCCCAUCGCAUGCGCCCCAGCGAAAGCAGUAGGGGAAGGUGCCAUUGGCGAGACAGGACAGUACAAAAUUCACAUCCAAUUGAUAGAUAUACUGCUGGUUCUUCAUCUGGUUGCCUUGCCUAAAGUUUUAUAAAGGAAAUGGGGAACUAUACUAUUUACGAGCCCUGUUACCGCUAAGAUCCUUGUACUGGUAGUUUGUGCUAUAAAGAAAGAAGCGUCACUUUGGGCUACUACGGGUGCUCACGAAAGUAAUUUGUUCGUGUUGUGUCGCUGUGGCGGUGUGUCUUAUUACAAACUCUUCUUCUUAAUCAAUGAAGGCUACUACGGGUGCUCACGAAAGUAA